rnacentral:lncRNA from 1 species
UAUCUCAAAAAAUUUUGAUGAGACCAUCUGACUCAACCUCCUUCCAACUAACAACCUCAGCCACAAUCUGAGAAAGCAAUCGACAAUCAACUAAUGAUGAGAGUAAUCAAUAUGAUUUUCAGACGAUCAAAAGAUUGGGGGGCAACUUUUGAAGAAGAGCCGGCUAAAAAGCAAUGACUCGAUAAUGUAAUCUCUUUUUCAAAUGAAGAUGUUCGGAGAAUCCCCAUG